UAUUAAAAGUUUCCUAUAUUUGUAUUGUUAAAAACUAACAUGGUUGACAGAAUAAUUAAACAGUGACGUGUGACAUGUCACACCUACCUCAUGUUAACAUAUAAAGAUCCAUUUUUAAUGGUAGAAAUGGAUGAAAUUUAAAA
rfam:Gossypium hirsutum cultivar TM-1 chromosome 13, whole genome shotgun sequence